GGGCGGGGCUGGUGGGACUGGUGCCCCUCUGUCUGCUUGCCUUUCUUCCGUCCCCCAAGGAUUUGGUUUCCCUGAAGGUCACGACCAUGGAUGGGACUUAACUCAGCAUCAGGAGAAAAUCCAAGGGCACAGCGAUCCCCCCAGGAGAGGGUGAAAGCAAGAGCUGGCUGGGAAACGUUUGCCUUGCUUUGUCAUUGGUUGUGUAACCAUAAAAGCUCGGGUCGUGAUCUGUUUUGGGAGAUUUGCGCUGCGCUUUGGGCUCUUUGCUGGCAGCACAGAGCUUGCUUGGGAUUCUCUCUCCCUCCCUUACACUGGCUCUCUAAAAUGAAUAAAAUAAAACUGUUUAAAAAUUCCUUUGGAAACUUCCUUUAUCUCUCCCCCACCCCCAAAGAUGUAUGUUAGCAAUCAGACUCCAAACUUACAGCCCACAGAUACACAUGAAGGGGCUCAUGAGUGAGUCGGUUUUACUGGACCUAGUAAGGUAGUCAAUGACCUUUUCCUCACAGUGGGAAACCUUUUUCCAGAAUACCUUGGAGGCUAGUGCCGUCCCUCCCCCUCCCGACUUGAAAGUGUAUAAUCGGCCACUCUUUUAAGACCCCAGUGCAGCUCUUUCUGCGCAUGUGUCCUGGCCCCGGGCUUUAAUAGAACCACCUGUGUGCCCCAAAGACGUCUCAAGAAUUCUUUCUUGGCCAUUGGCUCCAAACGCCAGCAUUUUCUCCAUCAUGAGGUACACUGCGGGGAGGAAAAUAAGUUUCCCAUGACCCUUCUAAGUCCUAAGCUGAGAGCUCUGUGAUGAAAGAGAUUAACAAGAGGGGGAAACCCGGAAGUUUUUAACGAGUGUGUCACACACAUACACGGGAGAUACCCAGGACAAAAGGAAUAACUCAGAGGUGGUUUUAGAGUCUAGGCCCAAAUACCAUCUUCAUAUGGAAAGAGGAGGGGGAUAUAGGCCCCUCAAGGGCCAGCAGAAAAUGGUUUUUAGGAAAGACACGGGGAUAGAUGGGAGGUAGGACAGGGUGUGACAGUGUGGCUUCCUUACUUCUAGUCUCCUGUGACCGGAGCCAGUCUUCCCCGGUUGAAGAAGCUAGGGAGA